rnacentral:rRNA from 1 species
UCAGAGUGAACGCUGGCGGCGUGCCUAAUACAUGCAAGUCGAACGAUGAAGCUCUAGCUUGCUAGAGUGGAUUAGUGGCGCACGGGUGAGUAAUGCAUAGAUAACAUGCCCUUUAGUCUAGGAUAGCCAUUGGAAACGAUGAUUAAUACUGGAUACUCCUUACGAGGGAAAGUUUUUCGCUAAAGGAUUGGUCUAUGUCCUAUCAGCUUGUUGGUGAGGUAAUGGCUCACCAAGGCUAUGACGGGUAUCCGGCCUGAGAGGGUGAACGGACACACUGGAACUGAGACACGGUCCAGACUCCUACGGGAGGCAGCAGUAGGGAAUAUUGCUCAAUGGGGGAAACCCUGAAGCAGCAACGCCGCGUGGAGGAUGAAGGUUUUCGGAUUGUAAACUCCUUUUGUUAGAGAAGAUAAUGACGGUAUCUAACGAAUAAGCACCGGCUAACUCCGUGCCAGCAGCCGCGGUAAUACGGAGGGUGCAAGCGUUACUCGGAAUCACUGGGCGUAAAGAGCGCGUAGGCGGGAUAGCAAGUCAGAUGUGAAAUCCUAUGGCUUAACCAUAGAACUGCAUUUGAAACUGUUAUUCUAGAGUAUGGGAGAGGUAGGUGGAAUUCUUGGUGUAGGGGUAAAAUCCGUAGAGAUCAAGAGGAAUACUCAUUGCGAAGGCGACCUGCUAGAACAUAACUGACGCUGAUGCGCGAAAGCGUGGGGAGCAAACAGGAUUAGAUACCCUGGUAGUCCACGCCCUAAACGAUGAAUGCUAGUUGUUGUGGAGCUUGUCUCUGCAGUAAUGCAGCUAACGCAUUAAGCAUUCCGCCUGGGGAGUACGGUCGCAAGAUUAAAACUCAAAGGAAUAGACGGGGACCCGCACAAGCGGUGGAGCAUGUGGUUUAAUUCGAAGAUACACGAGGAACCUUACCUAGGCUUGACAUUGAUAGAAUCCGCUAGAGAUAGUGGAGUGCUAGCUUGCUAGAACUUGAAAACAGGUGCUGCACGGCUGUCGUCAGCUCGUGUCGUGAGAUGUUGGGUUAAGUCCCGCAACGAGCGCAACCCUCGUCCUUAGUUGCUAACUAUUCGGUAGAGCACUCUAAGGAGACUGCCUUCGCAAGGAGGAGGAAGGUGAGGAUGACGUCAAGUCAUCAUGGCCCUUACGCCUAGGGCUACACACGUGCUACAAUGGGAAGCACAAAGAGAUGCAAUAUUGUGAAAUGGAGCAAAUCUAUAAAACUUCUCUCAGUUCGGAUUGUAGUCUGCAACUCGACUACAUGAAGCUGGAAUCGCUAGUAAUCGUAAAUCAGCUAUGUUACGGUGAGUACGUUCCCGGGUCUUGUA